CAGAAAUUCCUGAAUUUGUCAUUUUUAGUCUGAAAUGGUUCUUCUUGAAAGAGCUUCUUGAUUCAUUCAAACUCAGAUUUCCUGUCACCAUCAUAGAUAAAAUUCAGGGAUACUGUGAAGGUUGUAAAUGCGAGGAUCAGUCAUAAAUCACUUUUUUCAGCAACUGUUCUAACUUUGAACAGUUGUUAAACAAAUAAUCCUCAGUCGAGGAUCAUUUGAUGUCCUGGAAAACUGAGAGAUCAAUAUACCUCUUUCUCUUCUGUUGUACCAUAGAGGCUUGCCCAAUUGGAAGUACUAUAAAACAGCGCUGGAACAAUCUCCCCAGAACAUUAAUGAAGCUUUACUGAAGUAAUUACAGAAGCUAAAAAAGCUUUUUUUUUUUUAAUACCACCACCUGCCUUGAAAAUACUCUCAUCCAAAGUUGGAGAGGUAGACAAAAAAGACUAUAUCUGGGCAUACUCCAGCAGUUCAGAUUGAGAAGCAAAAGGUUUUGUCAUGCAUUCAACUUUUGUACCAUGGACAAAGAUGUGCCUCCAGCAGAGCAACAGUUUCAGCAGCCUUGGAGCUUGGUGUAUCUGGCCCAACAUUGGUAGCUACACUGAUAGAAAUAAGCAAAGUGAUUCAUUUAUGGUGUUCCAUUGUCAUCUGCACUUUCCAUGUAAGCCUGAAUAAAGAAAGAUUAACAAAUUGAUUGCUGUUCCGCAAAGUGCUUCUAAACAAGGUAUUUGAGGGGGAAAGAGGAAAACAAACACCACUAAAGACGUCAUCCUCGUGAGCUGUGUUGAAAUUCUGGGAACUUUUAUUCACAACAACCCCAUUUGGAAUACAAGUCAUUCCGUUACAAGGUUAAAAAGCAUUUCAUCUGAAAAACAAACAAGAUCUUGAAAAAAACGGCAACCAAGUUAAUAAACUCUGGCAGGUUGAAAUAAAACAAGUUGCUUGAUAAGGACAGCUUAAAUUGAUCCUGGCAUUGGGGAGAAUUAUCUCUAAAUACAGGGAGCCCCUUUGCUUAUACUCUAUGCCAACCUUGUAUCACUACUGGGAAGCCUGAUCAUUAUAAUUGUUGUUUGUUUACUAUGACUACUAUGACUACUACUAAUCAGAAGCAAAAACAGCUUUGUGAAUGCCUUUUGUACAUCUAGUACCAAAGCAGGUAAUAAUUUUGAGCUGCAAGUCUGAUUGAACAAAUAUAUAAACACAAAACCAUUUCCCUUUAAUUAUCACUUAAAUAAGUGAGAGUACAGCUUCUUGUCUAUUUUAUGGGGGUGGGUUGGGAUGAGAAGCUUUAAUAUUGCCCAGAUUAAGCAGGCCAUAUGCAGGCAGGACUUCCAUUUCCAUGCUGGUAAUGGUUGGCAUAAAAAAUAAAGUUCUCUGGGUUGUCCACAAAUAAGAGGGGCUAUCAGUGGUUCAGAGGAAGGGGUUGCCUACAUGUGAGCUAUACGAAUAAGAUGUUUUGUUUUGAUUCUUUGAAUAGAGCUUUUCUCUUGAUCAUGAUUUUUAUCAGUAGAUUUUUAUACAUGAUUGUGAGAAUGAUUUCAAGUUUUUGUGAAAAUGAUCAAGGAUAGCUUGCUGAUGUUGGUUUGCUGCUGGACUACAAAACUGAUCCUAAAUAGUCUUAACAAUGGCCAUGAUCUCAUAUCUGUAGAAAGUUCAAGUUGACAACAUCAGCUCCUGGUUACUUAUUCUGUUUGAUAGUUGAACCUUCUUUGACUGCUGUCUUCCAUUGUUGGGUUUCAACUGCAUAAUUAUCAUAUCCCAUUAAUAGAAUACAAUCCACUCCACUAAUGCAUCUCAUGAAACCAAGUGUACUGGGGAUUAUGAGAAUUUAAAUCCAGCAUAGUAUUAAUAUUGGCAUCCUGCGUAAUGCUGAAGUAGCAGACCUGAUAUAUUUGUUGUUACCUCGUAACACACACAUAGAAACACAGGAAACUACUUUUGAUUCAUCUAGCUUGAAUUGUGUGAACUGAUUAUCCUGAGUGGAACACCAUAAGAAGAAUGUAUUUCUCACAGGAUAAUUAAGAGAUGAGAAAGGACAGCCUUCCAUAUUUAUAUUCAUUUUUAUAACCUGAUUAGGGAAUGUACUUUUCAAAGCCAUUUUCUUCAAACCCAUCUUCUAUGAGUAUAAACGUUAGUCUAGCAGUAUGAGAAUGGAUAGUUUUCAUGCUAGAGAGAAGUCAUAUGUCAACGUAGAUCAGGUCCAUUCCAAAGCCAUCAAAAGGAUGGUCAAAAAUCCCUUGAUUCAGAAAGAUGAGAAGAAGAAAAAAUUCAUCCUCCUAGAAUUUAGCCCUUGAGCACAAUAUAUACUACAAUGUAUACAUGCCUUCAU